UUGAUCUGGGACCUCUCAGGCUACAGAACUAGAGUCCUUUCUAUGGAGGAGACAUUAUGCUAGAAUUUUCACACAGAUUAUUUUAUUUAACUCCAAGAACUACUCCAUGAAAUAGGCAUGAUCAUCACCUUCAUUGUUUACAGAAGAAAUAUAGAGGAGUCAUCCUUAGAUUUUAAAAGGUUUUGCCUGCUGUUGAACUACUUGGACUUCCAAAUCAUGGGCCCAUUGCAAGAAAAAAAAAGUGAUUACAGAAAAUAAUAUGCUUGAAAGUCAAAGACAGAUGAUGAUUUGCUGACCUGUCCUUCAGUGAUUGCUGAGCUUCAUUGUCCCAGACCAAGGCACUUAGUCCUGUUCAAGUACCUACUUUAUCAUCCAUUAGAUGCUUCGCCAUCCUGGAGAGCUCAUCUCCUAGGACCUAUUGAAUUCAGAGACAAAAAUAGGCUUUUGAUAACUUCAGAGAUGAUAACAUUGGAAUAAAGGAAAAUGUACAGGACUCAUGAAGAGCUGAAAUGUUCACAAAUAGUAAGCAAAACAACAGUUAACUAAAUGAACUGAACUCAGCAACCUGAAUCAAACUUUUUGACUACUGUUUGGAAUAUUGCUAAUCCAUGCUUUGUUUUUCAGAGUCAAGGAAACUUAUUUUUAAGUAUUUAUGGCCUUAAAUAAUUAAGUAAAGUAUAUGCUCUCAUAAUCAAGAUUUGAAGCACGUUUGUUUCUCUCUGCCUGGUUCCUCUAGGAUUUGGACCCUACCUAAAAUCCAGGAAAGAAAUAUAAAACCACCGAUGGUCAUCAGACCUGUAAUGUGACUCUGAAACAAAACGCUGUAACAGUUUAUGUGCAAGUGGAGAAAUACACAGCUCAAAUCUGGAGAGCCAGCUCUGGAGGCCAUGCCAGAAUGAAAUAUCAAGCAGAAACUGAAUGGAGAAGAGAAAAAUGCAGCCCUGUCUGAGCAAGAGGGGAAUGCAGAUAAAUGCCACUCUCAGAGAGAAAGCAAAGGGGGAGAUAUGGACACCAUGUCUGAGACCUGGAGGAAUUGAAAUGAAGGUUAAAGAGGCUUUGAAAGAGACCAGAGCUAUCAGCCUGGGGAAAGCUUUGCUUCAGGAAAGUUAGUGGAAGCACAAAGCAUGUCAAGAAUUAAAACUAUCUCCAAAAUAAUUAUUCAGACAAUGGAUGCUAAAACCAAUGAGUUAAUAGGACAGUUAUACAAUCUCAAAGUGUCUCCCCAUAAGUUACAUAUUAAUUAGAAAGGAAAAAGUGCCUUUACAGUGGAGUGAUCUGAUAGCCACCACAGUAACCAAGUAAUCAACAUUUUCAUGACAAAUAAUGGGACACAAUUAGUGUGACAUGAUACUCUGGGAAGAUAUCACUUUUUUGGUAUUCCUGCCAAAAAUAGCUGACUUGAAUCUAAUCUUGGGAAAAUAAUUAAUAGUUACAAACUGAGGAACAUUCUCCAAAACAUUUGGCCUGUUCUCCUAAAAAAGAAAGUCAGCUUAAGAAAGACAAAGAAACUGUGCAUGAUUAAAGAAAACUUAAAAGGCAUAAAAUAAAUGCAGUUCAUGAUCCUGGACUGUAUUGUGGAUCAGAAAAAAAAAUCGUACAAAUUGUGAAUGGAGGCAUUGUAAAAAUUUUAAUAUGAAUUACAUCAAAUAAUAUGUUAUUAAACUUAAACUUGAAUUUAAUAAUUGUACAAAAUUAGGGAAUAUGAUUUCUUUGUUCUAAGUUUGAGAGAUGUGAGGUUACAAUGCCCACUAAUUAUUUCAGCUGGCUCAUAAAAAUUAUAAUAGUAUUAACAAUUUGUAAAUUUAGGUAAAAGUGUAUGCCGUUUCAAUGUUUUAGUCUUAUAAAUUUUUGGAUGGAAUAUUUUUAAAAAUUAAAGUUAAGCUAAGCACAGUGGCUCACGCCUGUAAUCCCAGCACUUUGGGAGGCCAAGGUGGGUGAAUCAGCUAAGGUCAGGAAUUUGAGACCUGCCUAGCCAAUAUGGUGAAACCCUGUCUCCACUAAAAACACAAAAUAGGUAGAUACAUAAUACAAAUAGAAGACAGAUAGAUAAUUGUUUAUUUAACAUUAUUGUAUUUGUUGCAAUAACCAACCUUUUUACUUAAAAACCAUUUAACAAAAUAUUUAAAUUUAGGAAUAAAAUUAAAAUCUUAAAACCCCAAAACAAAAUUAAAAAUCACCUUGCAAGCAGUUAAACUGAAUGAAAACAAUGAAUAAUGGGAAAAAAUAGAAAAAAAAAUAUUUCUUCUAGGAUCCAAAGGAAAAUGUAAAAGAUACAUAUGUUCAAAUAAACAUUGAAAACAAUGGACACAAAGACUAUAGUUAACUAUAGUUAUAGCCAACUAGUUGACUAUAUAUACCUUUUUCAACCACUAGUAACCACUAUUCUACUCUCUACUUCUACAAGAUUAACUUUUUUAGCUUCCAUAUAUGAGUGAGAGCAUUUUAUAUUUCUUUGCCUGACUUAUUCAUGUAACAUAAUGUCCUCCAGGCUCACCCAUAUUGCCAUGAAUUACAGGAUUUCAUUCUUUUUAUAGCCGAAUACUAUUCCAUUAGAUGUAUAUACCACAUUUUCUUUAUUCAUUCAUCCAUUGAUGGGCACUUAAAUUGAUUCUAUAUCUUUGCUACUGUCAAUAUGCUGCAAUAAACACAGUAGCGCAUAUAUCUCUUUGACAUACUGAUUUCCUUUCUUUCGGAUACAAACCCAGCAGUGGGAUUGCCCGGUCAUAUUUUUAGCUUUUUGAGGAAACUCCCUACUUUUUUUUUUUUAAAUAAUGGCUGUAUUAAUUUACACUUCUACCAACAGUGUAUAAAAAGAGUCUCCUUUUAUCUGCAUCCUCGACAGCACUUGCUAAUUUUUGCCUUUUUUGUAGCCAUUCUAAUUGGGAUGAGAUGAUAUCACAUUUUGGUUUUGACUUGCAUUUCUCUGAUCAUUAGUGAUUAGUAUUUUUUUUUCACAGACUUGGACAUUUGUAAGUCUUCUUUUGAGAGUUUUCUAUUCAGAUCAUUUGCUCUUUUUUAAUUGGAUUACUAUUUUUUGACUGUUGAGUUUCUUUUAUAUCCUGGAUAUUAAUUCCUUGUCUGAUGAACACGUUACAAAUAUUUCUUCUGGUCUGCAGGUUGUCUUUUCAUUAUUGAUUCUUUCCUUUGAUGUGCAGAAGUUUUUUUUUAUUUUGAUAUAAUCUAAUUUGUUUAUUUUGACUUAUGUUGCCUGGGCUUUUGAGAUGUUAGCCAUAAAUUCUUGGCCAAAACCAGUGUCCCAGAGUAUUUUCUCUAUGUUUUCUUUUAGUAAUUUCAUAGUUUCGGGUCUUUAAGUCUUUAGUCCAUUUGGGGCUGAUUUUUUAUAUGGUGAGAGGUAGGAGUCUAGUUUCAUUCUUCUACAUAUGGAUAUACAGUUUUUCCAGCACCAUUUAUUGAAAAGACCAAUAAAUGUUCUUGGCACCUUUGUCAAAAAUCAGUUGGCUAUAAAUAGAUUAAUAUGGGGCUUUUGUUCCAUUGACCUAUGUGUCUAUUUUUAUAAUUAUGCUGUUUUGGUUACUAUAGCUUUGUAGAAUAUUUUGAACACAGAUAAUGUGAUGCCUUCAGCUUUGUUUUCCUUCCUCAGGAUUACUUUGACUAUUUGGUGUCUUUUGUGGUUUGUACAAAUUUUAGGAUUGUAUUUUUUCUAUUUCUGUAAAGAAUGCCACUGGUAUUUUGAUAGGGGUUGCAUUGAAUCUGUAGAUCACUUUGAGUAGUGUGGUAAUUUUAACAAUAUUUCCCCUUCCAAUUUAUGACAUGAGAUGUCUUUUCAUUUUUGUGGGUGUCCCCUUCAGUUUCUUUCAUCAUUGUUUUAUAGUUUCCUUGAUGGACAUUUUUCAUCUCCUUUGUUAAAUUUACUCCUAGGUAUUUUAUUUAUUGGGUAGCCAUUAUACAUGAAAUUGCUUUCUUGAAUUCUUUUUUCACCUAGUUCAUUACUGGUAUACAAAAAUGCUACUAAUUUUUGUAUGUUGAUUUUGUAUACUGCAACAUUACUGAAUUCAUCUAUCCAUUUUAAAAGUUUUUUUGGUGAAAUCUAGCUUUUUCUCUAUUUAAGGUCAUGUUGGCACGGAGAGAUAAUUCAACUUUCUUCUUUUUAAUUUGGAUACUUUCUUUCUUUUUUUUGCCUAAUUGCUAUGGCUAGGACUUUCAGUUCUAUGUUGAAUGAGAGUGGCGAGAGUGAGCACCCUUGUCUUGUUCCAGUUCUUAGAAAAAAAAAACCUUCAGCUUUUCCUUGUAUAGUGUAAUGUUAAUUGUUGCUUUGUCAUAUUUUGCUUUUAUUUUGUUAUAUGCUGGAACUCCUGUUCUUAAUCUUAUCUAUAAAAUCCUUAUAUGAGAUAAAAACAUAAAAUGUCACAUAAAUGAGGUAUUAGUAUGAAUUUUUUUGGUCAUAUUUUGACUGGUUUUCACAUAAACAAUGGUAAAAAAAAAAAAAAAUAGUCUCUCCACAAGACUUCUGAGCAUGCUACCCUGAAAAUAGCUCAGACAAAUAAGAUUCUAUGCCACCUAUCUUUGCCUCAGAAAUAUAUUUCAGAAGCUAAUAAUUUUCAGAACCUGGAAAUAGUCCUCAGGUAUGCAAUUUAUAUUCUUUAUUAGGUAGUGUCAUUUAGGACUCUUUGUUUUAUCUUUGGUAAAAAUAAAUACUGGUGAUUAUAUCUUUGAUGACUUCUUGAGUACCCUUUAGCCUUCUAGUCUUAGGCUUUUAAUUUUUUAUCAUGUAUUUCCUUCUCCAGUUCUUUGCACAUCAUUGAAAUAUUUUUGGCAACAAUAAACAAUUAGCUCCACAAUAUCUACAAAUACCAACAAUAAAAGACUUACAAUAACAUCUUUGUUCACUAAUGCUAGUGGAUUUUUUAAUGUCAUAGUUUUUAAUGCACUCAAGUAAAAAUGAAAAACAAAAAUUACUUGAUUCAAAUUCUAAGACUUAAUAGAACCUUUAGCCUUAAAUUACAGAUUAGAGAUGAAGACUGCCCAGAAAAUAAGUGAAUGAGAAAAUACACCAACUCUUUUUUUAAAAAAACAAAGGAUUUGGUCAGAAAAAACAAAAGAAGUGUAGAUUGUUUUUAUUUCUUUGUGUCUUUAGCAAAUUAACAUAACCUUCUCUGUUCAAUGUGCAGCAGCUUCCCAUGGUUCAAUGAAAGUGGACAGUAAGAAUCACACAACUGAAAAGAAUAACGAGACACCAUUUUAUUUAUUCCCCUCACUAGGUUUACUUUACCUAAAUCUUCUCUAGAGUUUUCAUAAAAGCCUUUGGCAGAAAUACAAAAUUCUUAGGAGAGCCAUAGUACUUUAUUAAAUCUCCACCAUGGUAUUCAUAAACAAUUUUCAUAUAUGCAUACAGACUAUUUACUGUCUGUUGUUUUCUAGUUCUCAAGUUAAAAUGUAAUUACCACCAGAAGUUAAGUUUACAUUUUCCAGUUCUAGCUCUCCUGCUCUUUCUGGUGUUUUACACAGAAUCCUAGUACAUUAAGAAAAUAAACUCUCAGAAUGCAGUUAAAAGAAAACGCCAGUUAUUAUAAAAGUUUCCAAUAUAAUUCUUUUUUUAACAGCUUUAUUGGGGUAUAGCUGAUGUAUGAUAAACCAUAUCUUGUUAAAAAGCAACAUUUGAUAAAUUGUUACGUAUGCAUCUAGGAAACAUUACAAUAAUCACGAUAAAGAACAUAUUUAUCUUCCUCAGAGUUUCUUGGUGCCCCAGUAAAAUCUCUCCCUUUGUAGUCUCCAUUUGAAUACAAAAUGUAGUGAAUGAAUGUUCAAAGAGAAGGUGGCCUACAAACAUCAAGCCUUUUUGGUAUGUAUCAACAAGGAAUUAUAUCCUGUAUGCAAAUACAUUAAGAAUGAUAUUCCAACCAGAUCUUGAGGACAGUCACCCAGCAAAGACACCACUAUCUAAACUGCCACUCUAUUAAAGAAAAACACACUUUGGAGUGUGUGUGGUGGUAAAAAUUACUUUAUCCACUAGUAUUUGAGGAGCUCCAUAG
rnacentral:lncRNA from 1 species